rnacentral:rRNA from 1 species
GGUAAUACCGGGCACCGUGUCGGGAGGGCAUCCUCCUGCCACGAAAGGAGAAUCGCUCCGGGAGAGGCUCACGUAGUAUUAGCUAGUUGGUGGGGUAACGGCCCACCAAGGCCAAGAUGCUUAGCGGGUGUGAGAGCACGACCCGCGCCACUGGCACUGUGACACUGGCCAGACUCCUACGGGAGGCUGCAGUCGAGGAUCUUCGGCAAUGGGCGCAAGCCUGACCGAGCGACGCCGCGUGAGCGAUGAAGGCCUUCGGGUUGUAAAGCUCUGUCGGGGGGAAGAAAGGGCAACUUGAUCGACCCCCGGAGGAAGCACGGGCUAAGUUCGUGCCAGCAGCCGCGGUAAGACGAACCGUGCGAACGUUGUUCGGAAUCACUGGGCUUAAAGGGCGCGUAGGCGGGCAACCAAGUCAAAGGUGAAAUCCCACGGCUCAACCGUGGAAGUGCCCCUGAUACUGGUUGUCUCGAGGGAGGUAGGGGCGUGCGGAACUUCCGGUGGAGCGGUGAAAUGCGUAGAUAUCGGAAGGAACGCCGGUGGCGAAAGCGCGCGCUGGACCUCUUCUGACGCUGAGGCGCGAAAGCCAGGGGAGCAAACGGGAUUAGAUACCCCGGUAGUCCUGGCCCUGAACGAUGGGUACUAGGUAGUGGACUUGACAUGGGUUCACUUCCGAAGCAAAAGUGAUAAGUACCCCGCCUGGGGAGUAUGGUCGCAAGGCUGAAACUCAAAGGAAUUGACGGGGGCUCACACAAGCGGUGGAGCAUGUGGCUUAAUUCGAGACUACGCGAAGAACCUUAUCCUGGGCUUGACAUGUGCGAAAGCGGGAGGAAGUAGCGCGCGGAAACGUGGUGCCAACGGUAUACAGUCCGGAACCUCCUACAGGUGUUGCAUGGCUGUCGUCAGCUCGUGUCGUGAGAUGUUGGGUUAAGUCCCGUAACGAGCGCAACCCUUGUCUCCAGUUGCCAGCGAGUAAAGUCGGGGACUCUCGAGAGACUGCCGGUGUCAAACCGGAGGAAGGUGGGGAUGACGUCAAGUCCGCAUGGCCUUUAUGCCCAGGGCUGCACACGUGCUACAAUGGCGUGUACAGAGGGAAGCAAACCCGCGAGGGGGAGCAAAUCUCAAAAAGCACGCCGCAGUUCAGAUCGAAGGCUGCAACUCGCCUUCGUGAAGUUGGAAUCGCUAGUAAUCGCGGGUCAGCAACACCGCGGUGAAUGUGUUCCUGAGCCUUGUACACACCGCCCGUCAAGCCACGAAAGAUCGGGGGGGGCCAAGUCGCUGUGCUAACCCGCAAGGGAGGUAAGCGCCUAACCCUCAACGGUCAAUUGGGACUAAGUCGUAACAAGGU